rnacentral:rRNA from 1 species
AGAGUUUGAUCCUGGCUCAGGACGAACGCUGGCGGCGCGCCUAACACAUGCAAGUCGAGCGAGAACCCGAGGAGGGGUAACCCUUCUCGGGGGAGAGCGGCGAACGGGUGAGUAACGCGUUGGUGACCUACCCCAAAGUGUGGGAUAACAGUCCGAAAGGAUUGCUAAUACCGCAUGUGGUCAUUGGAUUUAGAAACCGAUGUCUAAAGGAGCAAUUCGCUUUGGGAGGGACCUGCGUCCCAUCAGCUAGUUGGUGAGGUAAUGGCUCACCAAGGCGACGACGGGUAGGGGACCUGAGAGGGUGACCCCCCACAAUGGAACUGAAACACGGUCCAUACACCUACGGGUGGCAGCAGUAGGGAAUAUUGCUCAAUGGGCGAAAGCCUGAAGCAGCAACGCCGCGUGUGUGAUGAAGGCCUUCGGGUCGUAAAGCACUUUUCUGGGAGAUGAGAAAGGACAGUAUCCCAGGAAUAAGCCUCGGCUAACUACGUGCCAGCCGCCGCGGUAAUAC